UACGUAGGUGGCAAGCGUUGUCCGGAAUUAUUGGGCGUAAAGCGCGCGCAGGCGGUUCUUUAAGUCUGAUGUGAAAGCCCACGGCUCAACCGUGGAGGGUCAUUGGAAACUGGAGAACUUGAGUACAGAAGAGGAAAGCGGAAUUCCACGUGUAGCGGUGAAAUGCUUAGAUAUGACCCAGAACACCAAUUGCGAAGGCAGCUCGCUAAACCAUAACUGACGCUGAUGCACGAAAGCGUGGGGAGCAAACAGG
rnacentral:rRNA from 1 species